GUCGGUCCACGUAUUACGCACGAGUCUCGACGUACAAAACUACAACAACUAUGGACAACCACAGAUCAAGUUUCCCUUAUCGAUUUGGGGUCGAAUUAUAUUCUCAAGUUUACAUCUGCUGAGAAUAUGAAUUUCGUUUCUUUUAAGUAAUGGACCUUGAUUCAUCUAUGACACUAUUUGUCUAUUCAACGAUGGGAGCCGAACUUCAUUCCUGAAAAAGCUACCCUCACAUCCUCAGCCAUAUAGGUUCGUCUUCCCCAAUUAUCCACGGAAUACUAUGAUAGUAUUAUUCUACAAUGGGUAGGAAACUCCAUCGGUACAUAAUUAAAAAUUGAUGCAUGCACAAGUUCAACUUUGAGGGGGAAAUAUGCUAGGCUCUACAUCCAAAUUCUCUUUAAUAAUCCAAUUGAGUAUGUCCACAAUUGUUCCAACAAUCUACAGAAGUGAUCAUUUGUGCUUCGACCUGCAGUGAAUCAGGAUAUAGCAAGGAAUAUGGUGAUCAUGGCACUUAUAAUGAGACCCUGUUGGAUAACACAUCCACAUACCUCACUAGUUCGAGCCCCAACCAUCACUCUUAACCCCAUGGAUCAGGACACUAUCUUUGUUGUUUGGAACACCCGGAGAGUUAAUAAUGAGGACUUCAAAAGAAAUUUUAAGGAACUCAUCCGUAAUCGUAACCCCUGUCUAGUUGCUUUGUUGGAAACCAAGAUGUCUAAAUCAUAUCUCUUUAAAGGGAAUUUACUUUUGAUGAUUAUAUUGAGUUUCCUGUCGUUGGUAAUUCAGAGGGAAUGGAAUAAAUAUGGUACUCUCAUGUUCUCCAAGUUACUAUUAAAAAUUGCAUCGAUCAGGAGAUUCAUGCUAUGAUUCAGGUCAUUGUUAAAGAAGCUGGAGAAUCCAGUACUCUGCUACACCUUUCGCUAGCUUAAUGCGGUAGUCGACUUGUUGAGCAAGUUUGGUACUCAGAUUACAUCAUCCACCCAGAUCACUGUUUUGACGUCUCCACCCUCUCCAGUCUUUCCUUUCCUAUAAGAAGAACAAUGUGGAGUUUCAGUUACUAGGAUAAUUUCUAAGUCUUCUAUUAAUAGGCUAGCUAGCUAUGGGAACUUGUCUGUUUUAACUUAUGCUUUGGAUGUUGCUAAUAUCCCUAUUGUAAUAUCAUAGUACUUAUAAUAAUAAUAAUAAUAUCUAUUCUUAUCAACAAAAA